UACAGAGGGGGCAAGCGUUGUUCGGAAUCACUGGGCGUAAAGGGCGCGUAGGCGGCCGAUCAAGGCGGGGGUGAAAGCCUGUGGCUCAACCCCAGAAUUGCCUUCGAUACUGUUUGGCUUGAGACCGGAAGAGGAUAGUGGAACUGCGAGUGUAGAGGUGAAAUUCGUAGAUAUUCGCAAGAACACCAGUGGCGAAGGCGGCUCACGGGCCCGAUACUGACGCUGAGGCACGAAAGCGUGGGGAGCAAACAGG
rnacentral:rRNA from 1 species